CAGCAGUGGGGAAUAUUGCACAAUGGGGGAAACCCUGAUGCAGCGACGCCGCGUGGAGGAAGAAGGUCUUCGGAUUGUAAACUCCUGUUGUUGAGGAAGAUAAUGACGGUACUCAACAAGGAAGUGACGGCUAACUACGUGCCAGCAGCCGCGGUAAAACGUAGGUCACAAGCGUUGUCCGGAAUUACUGGGUGUAAAGGGAGCGCAGGCGGGAAGACAAGUUGGAAGUGAAAUCCAUGGGCUCAACCCAUGAACUGCUUUCAAAACUGUUUUUCUUGAGUAGUGCAGAGGUAGGCGGAAUUCCCGGUGUAGCGGUGGAAUGCGUAGAUAUCGGGAGGAACACCAGUGGCGAAGGCGGCCUACUGGGCACCAACUGACGCUGAGGCUCGAAAGUGUGGGUAGCAAACAGGAUUAGAUACCCUGGUAGUCCACACCGUAAACGAUGAUUACUAGGUGUUGGAGGAUUGACCCCUUCAGUGCCGCAGUUAACACAAUAAGUAAUCCACCUGGGGAGUACGACCGCAAGGUUGAAACUCAAAGGAAUUGACGGGGGCCCGCACAAGCAGUGGAGUAUGUGGUUUAAUUCGACGCAACGCGAAGAACCUUACCAAGUCUUGACAUCCCUUGACGAACAUAGAAAUAUGUUUUCUCUUCGGAGCAAGGAGACAGGUGGUGCAUGGUUGUCGUCAGCUCGUGUCGUGAGAUGUUGGGUUAAGUCCCGCAACGAGCGCAACCCUUAUGGUCAGUUACUACGCAAGAGGACUCUGGCCAGACUGCCGUUGACAAAACGGAGGAAGGUGGGGAUGACGUCAAAUCAUCAUGCCCUUUAUGACUUGGGCUACACACGUACUACAAUGGCGUUAAACAAAGAGAAGCAAGACCGCGAGGUGGAGCAAAACUCAGAAACAACGUCCCAGUUCGGACUGCAGGCUGCAACUCGCCUGCACGAAGUCGGAAUUGCUAGUAAUCGUGGAUCAGCAUGCCACGGUGAAUACGUUCCCGGGCCUUGUACACACCGCCCGUCACACCAUGAGAGCCGGGGGGACCCGAAGUCGGUAGUCUAACCGCAAGGAGGACGCCGCCGAAGGUAAAACUGGUGAUUGGGGUGAAGUCGUAACAAGGUAGCCGUAGGAGAACCUGCGGCUG
rnacentral:rRNA from 2 species